rnacentral:lncRNA from 1 species
GACUUUACCUAUCUAUAACUCACUCAAGUCCCUUGAAAGAAACAAAUGUUAUCAUUCAGUUGGUGGAUAGGUCCAUAGUUUAUUCGUAAGGUGUUUUAGAAGAUGUUAGAGUUGUGUGAUCAAAAUUCUUGUUAAACAAUUAAUAUAAUGGUAAAACUAGGGGAUCUAUGGUGGGCUUAAGGAUUAGGCUGCACAAGUACAAUCCAUAUAGAACUACUCUUCUUCUAUUUGACAUUGAUUGCACAAGUAGAAUCAAUAUAGAACUACUCUUCUUUUAUUUGACAUUGAUUAUAAUAAUGCUUUUUUAACCUUUAAAUAGAUGUAAUUGAAACUUCUCUUGUAUGAUUCAAUUUUAAACGUUAGUGAAUUUUCUUCUCCUCUUCCCAUGGUUUUUUCCUAAAAAGGUUUGAAUUUUCUUCUCCUCUUCCCAUGGUUUUUUCCUAAAAAGGUUUCCACGUAAAAUCUAUAUAUUUUAUUUUUCUUUCUUAUUGCUUUGCGAUAUUUCUAUAUUGUCAUUAUCGAUGUUCAGCUUUAACAAACUGGUAUUAGAGCUUUUUGGGUUGCUUAUCUAGAUCAUGAUAAUGACAAUAAUGAAGUAUGAUAUUUUGUUGUUGGAUCACAAUACCAGAUUCACAUUGUGACAGAUAAAGAUGCAGAUAAUUCUUGUGUAGAUAGAUUUGAAGGAUGCCUUGCUAGGUUUAGAUAAGAUGCCUUCGACAUUAAUAAAGGAAGAGAAGAAGCUUAAAGAUCGAAAGGCAUUAAUGCAAUUACAUCUACAUCUGUCGAUUGAAAUUCUACAGAACAUGAUGAAGGAGAAGAUCAAUGUUGUAUUAUAAGCAAAGUUGCAGCAGUUAUGCAUGUCGAAAACCCUAACUAGCAAGUUGUAUACGAAGUAGCGUCUUUAUGCUCAUCGUUUGGAAGAAGGUGCGUCUAUUCACGAACACUUAACUGUGUUUAAAGAAAUUCUCUCAGACCUAGAAGCCAUAGAAGUUUAGUAUGAUAAAGAAAAUUUAGGGUUAAUUCUACUUUGUUUGUUUCCCCUAUCUUAUUCAACCUUUACAGAUGCAAUUUUUUAUGGUUGUGAAUCUCUCACAGUUGAUAAAGUCUAUGCUUCCUUAACCUUGUAUGACAAGAUGAAACAUCUUGUGGCUGGAUUUUACUCUUAGGGAGAGAGUCUCAUUUUUCGUAGGAGACAAGAAUAAAAUACUGAUGAUAAUCGUGGGAGGACAUAGGAAUGAAAUCCUCGCAGUAAAUCUAAAGGUAGACUGAGAUAUUCAAACAGAGGUAAAAUUUGUAACUUUUGUAAGAAGAAAGGGCACAUUAAGUUUGAGUUCUAUAAGUUGCAGAAUAGGAUCAAAAGGGAGAUGACGAAUUGAAAAAGAAAACAACCAGAACAAUCUGAUGAAGCUGAUGUUGUAGAAGACUACAGUAAUGGUGAACUCCUAGUUUCAUUUGCCGAGAACUCUAAAGUGAUCAAGUAGUGGAUCCUUAAUUCUGGUUGCACCUUCCAUAUGAGUCCCAAUCGAGAUUGGUUUACAACAUAUAAAAUAGUGUUAUUUUGAUAGGAAAUAAUGCUUUAUGUAAAAUCAUAGGUAUUUGCAUGAUCGAAAUUAAGAUGUUUAAUGGAGUCCUCAAGACAUUUAGUGGCGUACGACAUGUGCCAUAAUAAAAGAGAAAUUUGAUUUUGUUUAGUACUCUUGAUUUAAAAGGGUACAAGUAUACAACUGAAAGUGGGGUUCUGAAGAUUAACUAGGGUUCAUUCGUUGUGAUGAAAGGGUAGAGAAAGAUUGCGAAGUUAUAUGUUUUGCAAGGUUCAAUUGUUAUUGGUGACGCAACUGUUAUUUCCUCUUCCUUGUCAGAUGAUGAUGUUACUAGACUUUGGCAUAUGUGUCUAGGGCAUAUGAGUGAGAACUACAUGAUAUAAUUGAGCAAAAGAGGACUUCUUGAUGGACAAAAUAUUAACAAAUUGAAGUUCUAUGAGCACUUCAUUUUUGGGAAGCAAAAGAGAGUUCGAAUCAUAAGAGGAACCCAUAACACAAAGAGAACACUGGAUUAUACUAAUUAUGAUAUUUGAGGACCAUUGAGAGUGCCUUUGAGGGGUGACGCUAAUUAUAUACUUAUGAUCAUUGAUGAUUUUUCUAGAAAAAAUUGGGCAUUCUUCUUGAAGUAUAAAAGUGAUGUGAUUUUCAUGUUUAAGGCUUGGAAAACUAUGAUCGAGAAGCAGACAAGAAAAUAGAUAAAACUACUUCACACAAAUAAUGGCUUGGAAUUAUAUUUUAAUGAGUUUAAUGAAUUAUGCAAAUAAGAAGGGAUUGUGAGACACUUGACAAUUCAUCAUACUCUACAACAAAAUGGCAUUUCAGAAUGGAUGAAUAGAACAAUUAUGGAAAAUGUUUGAUGUAUGUUGUCAUAUGCUUGUUUACCGAAGUUGUUUUGGGCUGAAGCAGCCUCUACUGCAUGUUUUUUUAUUAGCCAAUCUUCGUCCGUUUCCUUUGAGAAAAAUACUCCACAAAAGGUAUGGUCUGAUAAUCCUGUUAAUUAUUCUGAUUUGAUGAUUUUUGGACGUCCUGCGUAUGCUCAUGUUGAUAAUGAGAAAUUGGAACCUAGAUCCAUUAAAUGUAUUUUUCUUCGUUAUAAGGCUGGUGUUAAAAGGUAUAAGUUAUGGUGUCCAGAAAAUAUAAAAGUUGUGAUUAGCAAAGAUGUUAUUUUUUAUGAAAUUGCUAUGUUGCCUAACUUAUCUCUUAAAGAAUCUUCCAAUAAAGACCAGCAAAGUUCAAACACACAUAUAAAGCUGGUGGAGCUUUAGAUUGAUCCAAGACCUACAAUAGAGUCUACUCUUCAAGUUAGUAUAGAAACUCAAAGUAGAGUUGCUUAUUCACCACAAUAUUCUAUUGCCAAGAAGAGACCUAGAAGUGAAAUUAAAUCUCCAAAGAGGUACGCCGAAGCUGAUCUAGUUACUUAUACUUUAAACAUGGCUGAAGAUAUAGAUACAAAUCAAGAGUCAUCUUCUUAUUCCUAGGCAGUUAGCUGUGAAGAUUUAGGAAAGUGGAUGUUUGUUAUGCAAGAAAAGAUGGAAUCAGUCCAUAAGAAUAGAACAUGGGACCUAGUGAAGCUUCCUAAGGGUAAAAAGGUUAUUCAUUGUAAAUGAGUAUUCAAGAAGAAAGAAGAGACUCUAGAAGUCGAAGAACCCAAGUAUAAUGCAAGGCUGAUUGCAAAAGGUUACAGUCAGAUUCUAGGUGUAGACUUCAUACAUGUGUUUUCUCCCGUUCUAAAGUAGAAUGCCAAAACAACCAUACUGCCUUCGGUGUAUUGACAUAGCUAGUAGAUGUCGUGACACGCCUUCGGAGCAAAGCCAAAGCUAAGCACGCUGCCAUUGAUGUCGAGACAUAGCAAGAGGAUGUCACGACAUCGAUCAUGUACAUGAAAGCAUUAACGAGUUAAGGGCGUUUUGGUCCAUAAAAAGAAAAUUAACGAAGAAAUAUCAAUCGACCUAGGGCUAAGGAGGACGACCAACCCUAACAUUAUAAAUAGACUCAUUAAACACUUGAGAGGGGACCUUUUUUUUAACUUAAAAUUUUCUUUUUAAUCUAGUUUCAGUUUUUAGUUCAUUUUAGCCUUAGGAUUUAUUUUCAUUUGUUUUUUCUCGUGAUAUUCAGGGAAUCUGAUUUGUGGAUUCAACCAAACGCUUUGUGGAUUUAUGCGCUAUAAUUUUUCAAUAAACCAGGAUUCUUCUUAAACCUUUUAUUCUUGAUUCGUUAUUCAUGUUCACUUUAUUUAUCAAGUUUAUAUUGUUUGAGAAAUCCAUAAGUAACUAAUCCUCUUAUGGGAGAUUAGCGAGUGAAAGUGUGAUUAAUUAAUUUCUAUGUAGGGUUUCUUAGUGAAUUAGCUGUUUAGGAUAGGAAAAAACUUAAACCCUAAGCCUGACAACCCUAGGAAGUCAUCUAGGUGGGAAUUAACCCAAAAUUGGUAUUGCCUAUCCAUGAACCCCUUACCCCAAACCGGUCUAGACUGUGAGGUCGAGAGAUAAGUAGCUCUUGUCGACUCGUUAGUUUUGGCAGAAGAUCGAGAGGUCUUGCUAGGGUAAUAACUAGUUGAUUGAGUAGAAAUCCAAUAUAAGAAUUAGUUAUGACCACUGAAGCGAGGUAAUCACCCAUGCUUAGGUUUGGUUGAGUUUAUAGAUUAGUUUUCUAUUUUCACUAUUUUAUGCAUGAUUUAUUCUUGCCUUUAUAAAAAUAAUUCCUUUUUAAUUUAUAUUUCGUCGUACUAUAAUUUAUUUAAAGUACUAAUUAAUUCUAUUUACGUUUAGGUUAAUCUUAAUUUAGUACUCGCCUCUCUUGGGUACAAUCCUCAAAGUACUUACCUACUUUAUUGUAAAACUAUAUUACAACCUGACUCGAUACUUGCGGACACCACCUCAAUUCCAUAAUUUUAGUAGCAGUAUUCACACUUUGGACGUUAGUACGUUCUAAGGUUGCCAGUCAGCAAACAACAACACGAGAAUUCACCAUUAGAUACGUUAAAUGUCUACUUUAAUACCAAUUGCUGCUACCUACAGUUGUUGUUUUCUUAAUAUGAAAACUUGUAAGGGAACUUCUUGACUUUAGUGGCCACUAUGGCUUGACACUGCGAAAAAAUGUGCAAACAAAAACAAAAAACACCAAGGAUUUAUUUACGUAGUUUGGUUUCCCUAUAUCUGUGGAGUCUAGCUCAAUGAGUAAUCCCACUAUCUUUAAUUCACAAUAUAUCAAGUGGUUUACACUUUAUCACUCCCCAAGUAUAAAGAACUUACCUUUGAACAUAAAUACUACAACACUCACCUCCAAAUCUUUCCCUUGAGAACUUGGGCAAUAAACACUCAACAAUGUUUACAAUAUAGUUUGCACUCUCUCACAAAAUAGUUCCUCAAUGAACAGAUUCAAUUGUUCUCAAUAAGUUCUCUUACAUAACCUAGACAAGCCUCAAGUAUAAUUAUCAAUCUCAACUACAAACAUAAAGUCUAAGUGAAUACAAAAUAACUCCUUCAAAAUAGCUAUUACAACAUCAAUAUUCAAAGCACAAUCAAUUAAAGAUAUGCUUUUCAAAUUCAACAGCACAAUCUCGAUUAGAUCUCCAAAUUCCAAGGGUUGGAUAGAUUCAGUCGAAUCCAGUCCAAUAUUCAAAGUUCAAAUUUUGGUUUCCAUAGAUGGACCAUAGUAUCUUCAAUAUAACAAUACAUUAACAUGCCCUAAGAUUUUCUUUAUUAAAUUGCAAACUCAAAUAAGACAAAUAAUCAACUGCCUUAGUGGCAACUAGAGGUGCUCAUGGGCCGGGCGGCCCGGCCCGGCCCGACGGCCCGCCCGAAAUAUGGGAGGGUUUGGGUAAAAAUAUAGGCCCGAAAUAUGGGCUUGGGCAAAAAAACGAGGCCCGAUUUAAAAACGGGCUGGGCCUCGGGCACAACUUUUUUGGCCCGGGCCCGGCCCGGCCUGAAUAUAAUAAAUAUUUUUAUUAUUUUUUAUUUUUUUAAUUUUAAAAUACUUUUAAAAUACUUUUAUUAAAUUUUUUAAAUUUUAAAAUAUUUUUAAAAUACUUUUUAAAUUUUUUUAAUUUUAAAAUAUUUUUAAAAUACUUUUUUAAUUUUUAUUUUAAUUUUUAAAAUAUUUUUUUGGUAUUUAUUUAAAAAAACGGGCCGGGCCGGGCCCGGGCUUAUGAAUUUUUUCCCGGGCCGGGCCUGGGCAAAAUUCUAGGCCCAUAUUUUGGGCUGGGCCAGGCCCGGGCCUAGGACUCGGGCCGAAAUUUUUUUCUGGGCCCGGCCCGGCCCAUGAGCACCUCUAGUGGCAACCUAUAAUGAGCAUUGUCGAGUGCCACUCAAUUUCAUUCUUCACAUCUUGCUUAAUCAUCAUGUAUUUAUUUGUUGUUGUUUCGCUCUUGUUUCUAAUAAAUUUCUUAAUUGGAUGUUAAUUUAGUGAGGAGAUUUAAAGGGAAAAAAAAGACUUCAUAUCAAAAAGACUUUUCUUAGUAGAAGAUAGAAUAAUUUAUAAAAUCAACACACCAAUCACAUAUAAUGUAUUAUAUCAAAUAAAUUAAAGUCAAUGGACAAUAUUCACACGAAAAUAAAAACGCAGGGCGAGGAAGCUUCCAAUCAGUUUAUUUAUAGAUAGGAUGGUGUUUACAACCUCCACCAUUCUAAUUAUUAAGUGGGCACGUUCUUAUUUAUUCAAGUAUUCGUAUUUAUAUGUAUAAAAAAGGCAUUCCUAUUUAAAAAUCCGGCAGCUAAUUAGACCAAGUUGCUGUUGCGUGGUCAAGAUUUGUUUUGUUUUUAAUAUUACUAGGGAGAAAUCAACCAGGUAUUACAUAAUAUGUUUUCGACAAUAAAUUAUUUCCAAGUCUGCGUGAUUUCUCAGUAUAAAUGUUUGUGUUUUGUUAAUGAAAAUGAAGCAACAAUUCUACUAGCUUUCAUCUACAUUUCGCCCCAGAAAUUAUAGUAAAGCAGAGACAAUGAGAGGAUUAUCGGUGUUGAGUUGGAUUCUGAUCAUCUGCGUCUGCCAAGUAGCAGUGCGGAGCCAAUACUACUCGGACACCGUACCAUAUCAACCCAGGCCAGUUGUGGUCACCAAUCUUCAUUUCUAUAUGCACGAAUUUACGGGCACUACAGCAGUCGUGCUAACCCAAGCUAACAUCACAAGCAAUAAUACAUCAGUGACAUUUGCCACCCUAGUUGCCGUUAAUGAUCCCCUCAGGACUGGUCCUGAGCCUGACUCAGAGCUGAUUGGAAAUGUUCAGGGUAUUUCCCUCCUAGCCGGAUCAAAUGCAUCGAGCACGCAGUACAUAGAUUUUGGAUUCAAUACCGGUAAGUUUAACGGAAGCUCUCUAAGCGUAUUUUCAAGGGGAGAAGCUGGGCUUGCGGUGGUCGGAGGAAGAGGCCAAUUCGCGAUGGCAACAGGGACUGCACUAUUUAACCCUAUCCUUAUAAAUGCCACCAAUGUCAUCAUUGAAUUUAACGUUACUGUAAUUCAUUACUAAGAUGUUAUUUACAGAGUCAAUCGUCUUGGGUUGUGUGAAAGUCAUAUGAUUAUGCUCCACUUGUUAGAAUAAAUGUAUGAGAAAUAUAUAGGUUUGUAGUAUUAAAAAUUAAAAUUCUCAUACUUGGUCAUUGUACUUUAUCAUUAUACGAGAAAUAAAUAUUAAAUCCUUAGCUACAAAAAUAUAUCUACUCCGUACUUAUCUUCAUCUCUAAUAGAGGUUGGCUUAUGCAAAAUUCGGAAAGUUUAUUGAUAACGAAACAAUUAUUAUAUGGUGUCAAAGUCAAAUAUUACAACAAAAGCAAGUUUCUGGACUAUUUGGCGUUGACUGCAACAAAGCAAUCAUGAAAACUUAAAAAAACCUAAUAUGGGCAUUGGUGUGUUUGAUUCUUUGGCCCUCGACAUGUUUACUUUGCUCUAUAUAUCAUGACAAAUAUAUUCUUGUGUUGGGACUUCAAUUCCCAAAAAUAUGAUCCAGAUAACCAAAGUUUGAUCAAAGACAGAGAGAAAAGUUUCAUUAUUUUUAUUGAUACCAAAUUUUGUCCAAGUCGAUAAAUCCAGAUUAGGCCAUACUUAGUCCACUAACAGAUCAACAAAUCAUGGCAUAAUGCCAAAUUUUGCAAUCAAUAUUAGAUUUUUUUUUUUAAAUUAUGCUGUUAUUCUUUGAUCUUUUCGCUAAAUUUAACUCUCAACCUUUCGUAAAAAUUAAAUUUGACCAUCAACCUUUUAAAAAUAGUCAAAUUAUUAUAUUUUUAAUGCAAUUAUUAACUAAAACGUUAAAAUUUUUAAUCAUGAUAGCCCGCAUAGCAAUUCACACGUCUUUCAUGCUAAUUUUAUAAAAAUUUCUAAACCUUUUUAUAACUUUUAUUUUAUUUUAUUUUUUAAAUAUUUUAUAACUAUGAAAUUAUUAGUUGACGUGGCAUAUUAAACAAAAAAAAGGCCAUGUCAUACCUAGAUUGCCACACCAACAUCAUAAAAAAAUUAAUGUUUUAAUCAACAUUUUCAUUAAAAAAGAUAAAUUGACACUUUUUAAAAGAUUAAUGACAAAUUUUAGUUCAAGUAAAAGAGCCCUAUUAAGAAAAGUUAAACGUUGAGGGCUAAAAUUGACAUUAUAUUAUAAAUCAACCUUUUGAACUUAAUUCAAGACUCAGUUAAAUUUUUGGGAUUAAAUUGAAAUUUCAAAUUAAACUAAGCCUUUGGUUAAAUUUUUCAAAAGUUAAAUCACAGCAAAAGUUAAAUUUGACUUCCUAAUCUCCAACCAUAGACCAAAUUUGUUGAAGUGUUCAGCUUAUUACAAUUUCUUUCAUAUAAAAUUUCACUUUUAGUUUUAUAACAGAUUAAUAAAAAUGCUCUUAACUUGUAAACUCAAACACUCAACUAUACUAUUUUAGUGUAAAAUCUUUUUCUUGUUUUGAAGAUAUUGUUUAGCAAUUGACAUUUAUAUUAUCUUAAAUAAUUUGAUGUAUUAUGAAUAAGAUUAUUUAUUUGAUGUAUUAUGCGUUCUUCUUAUUACACAAUUUUAUAAUUGUUCGACAUAGUCACUCAGUUGAACAAACCUCGCUCACAUCGGAUGACAGAAAGGAGCAAAGUUGCCUAUAUAGGAACUCGUCCAGCUGACCUGAAGAAAGUCACGAUCAUAUCAUGUUGCAUCUCACCACUGCAGCAAAAAUGAUGUUUAGCGGCAAUCCCUUGCGGCGUUUACAGAGAAAGUGUCGUGUCGGUGCUCAUGUAGUGGUGUUUGGAAAAAAAAAACGCCAUCAUAUGCGCAUGAUAUAGUGGUGUUUACCCAGAAAACACCGUUAAUUCACUCACGUCAGCCAGCGAAUUUCAACAUUGCAGCCGGUAACACAUUCGCACUAAAUAUUAUAUAUGUCACUGUUUCUCGAACAAUCACCAGGAAAUAUUUGAACUUAUGGUGGCGACCAAGUCUCAAAUGCUGUAAUUUAUACAAUUGAAAAAUAUAAUUAACUUUUAAAUUUUAAUUUGUGUAUAUUAGUGGCGGUUUAGUACAUGGGAGAUAAUCUCAUCACCUAUCCAAAAGAAGCCUAGGUGUAGUCAAAUAAACUAUAUUAAGCUCUAAUUACAUAUUUUAUUGUUUUGAGAGAGAGAUUAAAUGCUAACUAUAGACUAAUUAAAAUAGAUUAAAAUGGUUUCCCAAAAUAAAAUGGUACAUUUUGAAUAUAGAAACAAGUAUAAAAAAGUAAUAGGAAAUUAUAGUAUUUUAAUAAAGGUUAAAUAUAAAAUUGGUACUUGAAUUUGUUCACUUCUCUCAGAUUGGUACUUAUAACUUUUUUCUUGUCCUAGAUUGGUAUUCGAAUUUUUUUUUCUGUUAAUUAAAUAAGUACCUGAAUCUAAUGCCGUUAAGUUUAAGACAUGUGAUAAAAUAAGAUUGUGACAUGUGCCAUAAAUGAUGUCAUGGUGAUGUCAUAAUUUAAAAAUAUUUUAUAUUUUUUCUUUUGUCCCCCUUUGUUUGAUGUUCCUUUUUUUUUUUCCCAUUUUCUUUCUUCUUCUUCUUCUCUCUCAUCCCAAGUUUCUUCUUCUUAUUUGGCAAUGACAAUCAACAAUUUUUUUCCACCGGUUUUUUCCUUCCUCAACCUUAAAACCCUUCUCUUCUAUUUUUCUUUUUUCUAUUUGUUUCUCGAGAAAGAAAAACCUAGAUUUUCUAUUUUUCUUUUCUGCAUAUACACUUGGAGAGAUUGGAGGAAAGUUUUUUGCUGGUUCUGAUAACUAAUUGUGAAGAUUUCUUUUUUAUUUUGUUGAAGUUUGUGAGAAUUUGUAAGAAAAAUGGUGAACAAAGUUUAGGAUAUUUGGAACUACUGUUAUAUUUCGAUUCUCUUUUGGAAAUAAAUUUGUUUUUAUACAAUUUUUCUUAUGUGACAAAUACAUUUGGAAGAAAAAAGAGCUAUUUUGGCGAGAAAUUUCAACUGGUCACCUUUUCCUCCACUUUUUUAUUUGCUCUGAUUUAUUUUCAGAAACAUUAAUGCCUAAUCGUCACCUCUCUUUUCUCUCCCCCAUUAUACCCUCAAACCCCAACACCAAAACCCCCCAAUUCAUCCUUAACUUUCAUUGCAGCACCCUACAACAACCUUCUAACUCAAACUUAGUCCCCACUCAACAGUUCAAUUUAAACCCUCAAAACCCUUUUUAAAACAAGUUCCAUGUUUGCCCAAAACAAAACCUAUCAUCAUUCUCUAUAAACCCAAAAUGCCCCCUUUUCCAAACAUAUAUUGGAAAGGGUUUUGAUUAAACAGUGAGAACAAACAUAAAACAAAUAGGAAGAAGUAAUAAAGAAGCUUUAGAUUAAAAAAAAUUGAAAGUUUUUAAAAUUUGGAAAUCUGAGAAAAAGAGAAAUGAAGGAGAUGAAGUUGGAGAAACAAAAAAAUCGUUGACUGUCACUCCAGUGCCAUUUUUAGGCCGAAAAGAAGGCCAACCAUUGGCGACGAUGGAGGCAGCAACUUGGGUUGAGGGAGGAAGAAGGAAGAAGGAAAGAAAAAGGAACCUCUCAAAAAAAGGGGAGGAAAGUCGAAAGAAAAAACAGUUUUUUUUUAUUUUUUUUUAAAAUUACGACAUCACCAUGACAUCAUUUAUACCAUGUGACAUAAUCUUAUUCUGCCAUGUGUCAUAAACUUAACAGCGUACUCAAGUACCGAUUUAGUUGACGAAAACAAAUAAAAAAAACUACAAGUAUUAAUCUGGGAGGAGUAGAUAAAUUCAAGUACCAAUUUUAUAUUUAACCCUUUUAAUAAAUUUUCUUCUUUAUCUAAGACACUCAUUUAACUAAUUAAAAUCAUUGCAUAUUUUAUUGUGUGGUUAAAUAAUGAAAAAUAUUAAUUAUUUUUCUCAUAAAAUGUUAUAAUAAAAAUAGAGGCAAAUUCAUAUUUUUGUUCUUAAAAAUGGCGGACUGUGUGUCCACAAAGAAACUAGGGAGCAUUUUGAUAUAAUCCCAAUACAACUCUCGUCCAAUCGCCAAAAGUUUUAGAAGGCCUCCAAGUUGCCAAAAGAAAAAAAUUUGUUUUAGUCUGUUGUCAAGCUACACAGGGAAGAGGCUACAUGCACCUUGCUCCGGGUGUACCUUGAAAACGAUGGCUUGCGUCCAAGGCCAUUACUUGAGCGUGAUGGCCAACCAAAGUUGUUCAGAGGGCCAUCCCCAAGCGCAAUUGUUACCCAAAGUCCUUAGAAGGCCUCCGAGGGCCAUAUCUGUGGCCUUCGAGUAUCCAGACGACAAAUUUACCUAAGUUGUCAAGCUACGUUAGGAAGAGGCUAGACAACCUUUGCUCCCGGUCGUGAUGGCUGGCCAAAGUUGUUAGAAGGGCCAUCCAUGUUGAUUAUAUACUUUAAAAGUAAUUAACAAGGUUGUGGCUACUCUUCAUUAUUUCAAAAUUAUAUUGACAUCAAAUUUUAUGCAUAAAAAGUAAAUAAUAUGCAUAUAUCAAUAUAUGAUAAGUACACUUAAAUGAUACCUAUGGACAUUAAUACGAGAAUAACCCCUGUUUUACUUAAUUAUGCAUAAAAUCAAGCAUCAAAAUUAAACUGAUAAAAUUUAAAAAUUUCUAGAAUAUUUGAAACUUUGACAUUUGUUUAUUACUAUAGAAUGUUAAAUGAUAUUGUCGAAAUUGACAUUUUUAUGUGUUUUAUUUUGAUGAACUUUUGGGUACGAUGCUACUAAUUUUGGUAUUUAUUGUCUAAAUUUCUAUAUAUCUGUAGUGCAAGUACAAAUUAUGGAGAACAAGUAAAAAUAUGGAGUUACAUGAAAGAUUUGAGCAUGAGAGUAGUAAUUUGACGUACAAGGCUUUUAGAUUUUAGGAUGAUUUUAUUUUAAUAUUUAUUUUUAUUUAAAUAUUAUUUGUAAAGAUAUGUUAUUAAGAGUUUAAUCAAGAUUAAGUUUUAUCCCAUAUCUUUUAUUUAGAUAAUUAUUCAAUUUUAUCUUUUUGAGUUUGUUUAGGAAUAGAAUACUAAGUUAUUUGAUAAAUUGAAAAUCUAAAUGUUGAAAAAUUAAAUAGUAAAAAAUUAAGUAUUGAAUUUAAGUUAUAAAAUAUGUUUGGUAUAUUACUUAACUACAAAAUUUAAUUAGAUUAUUUAAUAUAUAAUAAUUUUAAAAAUUUUAAAGGUAAAAUAUUUAAAGGAUUAUCAAAUGUGCUUAAAAGUUAAAUCACUAAAAAUAUUAAUUUUUAGUUGAUUUAAUUUUUUCAAUGGACUAUGAGAAAAAGGGUAAGGUGUUAAUUCCAGCUUAAAAUCGUUGAAAACGUGGAUCAUAGCUUGAAUUUAUUUUCUUAAAAUAAAUUUUAUUUUAUGUGAAUUACAAUUUCUAUGGGUUCCUUUGGAGAUAAUUACUUUCCCAUUGAAAGUAAUAAAAUCAUUUUUUAUUCUGCGUUUGGCCUGCAUUGCUUGAGCCCACACUCGGCACAAUUUGGAGUACAAAGAUAGUAGAGAAAGUCAUUCGGAUGAAAGUCUUAAACGAUUCAAAUCUGUCUCGCUUAAAGCACAUACUUUUUAGGAAAAGUUUAUUGCUAUAUCUCAGUCUAGAUCGAAAAAGAACCGUUAAAUACUAGAUGGGACCCAAUGCAAUUAAUGCACCAUAGAAAAAAACACUUUUGGGAAUUCUGUUUGCUUCAGAUAAAUUUCAUUCAUGUUUAUUGGGCACUAAAGAUAUUGUUUUUUCUGAUCUUGCAACCUUGAAGUUUUUACUAAGCAAAACCGAGACUAAUCCGAUGGAUCCUUCUUCUUCAAGAAAUUGAUCUCGAAAUUAGAGAUAAAAGUGGCUGUGGAAACUCAAUGGCUGACCAUCUGAAAAUUGCCAGUUUUGAAGAUCGUUCACCUUUAAAGGACAAAUUCCUGGAUGAAAACCUCUUCUCCGUUCACAAAAUUUAUCCGUGGUAUGCAGACAUGAUAAAUUACCUAGUAACAGGUACACUCCUCACUAAAUUAACUCGAUCUGAAAAAGAUAAAAUUAAGUGAGAGCCUAGAUAUUAUAUUUGAGAUGAUCCAUACUUGUGGAAACACUAUCCAGAUAAGGUAAUUAGAAGGUGUGUGCCCGAAAUUAAGCUAAACUCCAUCUUAUCAUUCUGUGAUUCUUAUGCAUACGGUGACCAUUUUAGUCCUAAAUGAACUACUCAUAAAAUUUUAGAAUGUGGUUUAUUUUGGUUUGUGUUAUUUCGUGAUGCUUAUACAUUCUGCAAAACUUGCGAGAAAUGCCAAAGGUUAGUUAACUUAAGUCGAAGAAAUCUAAUUCCAUUAACCUCGAUUUAUGAUUGGAAAAUCUUUAACGUAUGGGGAAUAGAAUAUUUCAUGAGCCCUUUUAUGUCCCAUCCUCCUCCUUAAUAGCUCAUCUACAUGGGAGUAUUCCUAACUCCUUUACUUUUCAAUAUUUUCAAUUCCUUUUCAAUAUUUUCAAUUCCUUUACUGUAAUUUUUUUCAUUUUUGCUGCUAUUCUUGCAUAUCUACUAUUGAAUGUGCAACGCCCCGCUUAAUUUGUUUUUAUUUCUGUAAAUGCCUAACACAAAUUUGUAUUUGCUUCAGUGGUUAAAUAUUUUAGGUGUGUGUAUGAGGUCUUGAGUUCAAGUCUUAUAUUUGCAAAUUUUGUUAGUCCUAGCCUUAUCCUUCAUAGAUUGGGUUAUAUUCUGUUUUCGGUAAACUUACAUUAGAAUGAGCCUAUUGGUUCGAGUGGUAAGAAGUUAGGGUGUUGGAGGUCCCGUGUUUGAAUCUUUAUGAGAGUGAAGGUGUUAAUUUUUUGCUUUGUUAGCAUCAGAGUUUCAGUAGAGCUAAAAUUCUGAGGUGGUUGUGAGUUAGUGGGAGAAAAAUAAGGGGACAUGUUAUCAUAUCUGGGAUUUUUAUUUCUUUUUUUAAAUUUUUAGUUAUUUUUUUUCUUUUUUUAAAUUUUUAGUUUUUUUUCUCUUUCCCAAUAACAAUCUAACGUUAGUUUCUUUGUUCCCUGCCAUUUUUUUCCUCUCUUUUCCAGCAAUUUUAUCUCUUUUUAUCGUAUCUUCAUUUCUCGAUAUUUCGAUGUUUUUUGUACGACUCUGGUAAGUGAAUUUUGGUUUCUGUAACAUUUGAGUUAUAAAACACUGGUUAGAGUUAUACCUUACGUUUUGGCAAAUUAGUGAGUAAGUUAAGAGUUGUUUUAUGUAAAUUUGUGGUGUAAGAAAAGGUUGUGAGCAAGGAAGUUCUGCUUCGACAGCCUAAAUCAUGUUGGUGGCUGUUCAUGUUGUCAGUAAGUUCUGUGCAUUAUUUCGAGUCAUGUGUCGAUUCGUAAAUUGAUUGCUAAUUGGAGAAGGUAUGCUGUAUAGUAGGUUUCGGUGGGCUUGAGAUUAUUGUAGCAUCUUAACCGAACCAGGUCUGUGUCCCAAAAACGCAAAAAAUUGGGUUUCGAUGAAAGUCAAAAAUGCAUUCUAUCGACGCCACAUGGGCGUGUGCCUGGCCGUGUGGUUGGCUGUAUGCAAGACACAGCCGUGUGUUUGACGAAGGUGUGGUCGUACGUAAGGCACAGCUAUGUGAUGGUGUGAGUGUGGCCGUGUUGGCCACACGGGCUAGGCCAAGUUAAGCGUGUAGGCCCACAUUGGCGUAUGGGUUGUGGGUCAGGCCGUGUGGGCCACACGGGCAAGGCCAAUCUGGGUGUGUAGGCUACACGGGCGUGUGGGCCCAUAAUUCUAAAAUUUUCCCUAGGGUCGCACGGAUCGUCCAAUAGACUAUGGUCUGAUAUUCUGUGAGUUUGCUCUGAGUAGGACACUGUAAUGCAUGUCUGAUUAUUUUGCUAUAUAUUCUAGAUACCUAUAUGCAAGCAUGUUAAGCAUGAUAUUUUUGUAUUUAUAAUCUGUAAUUAUGUUUGGGGGUGGGAAUUGUAUAUGUGGAGGAAGUAUUAUGUACAGCGAGCUUCCGCCUAUAUUCUGGUAGCUUGACUGCAUAUUAUCUGUUAUGUGUCGUAUCGACACUAUAUGGUGUGUAGGGACGGGUGGGUUUUUAUAACCCCACAUGGUGUGAUGGGAUAGUCGAAGAUGGUAUGUAGAGAAUGGGGGUAGGAUUAUGUAUAUUUGUUCUGCAUAUCUAGUUAUGUUAUCUGUAUUUGCAAAGGACUUAUGUCCAAAUCUGAAUCUGACUGAAUAUGUGAUUUUUGUAUGUUUAGCAUGCCUAUUUCUGUUGGGUUACACAUUGAAUUUACGAAAACUCACCUCUAUUUGUCUGUUCUAUUUAGGUAAUCCACAGACUUAGGCGGAUUAGUGUGGCAGAGUCUCAUGGUGACCACAAGUUUGCGAACUAUUUUAAAUUAAUGAUUUUGUUUAAAUAUGGAUUAUUUCUGGGACUUUGUAAUUAAGGGACUCUCCGAAUUGUUUGGUUUUAUUUUGGGAUUUCCAUUUUAACUCUGUAUUUGCAAUGGUUAGAAGAAAAUAUGGUUUUUACUAAAACGAAAGCUUUCUGAAAGUAUGAACGGGAUUUUCAAAUAUAACGAUUUCUAAGACGUCCGCGAUAAAUUAUGUUUUUGCAAAAGAAUUGAUUAAUUAACUCUUUCAGUAAUAAUUGUAAACUUGAAUGAUUUUUCAAACAACUAUACAAAGCUUUAUCGAAAUGGCAUUGCUUUCAAAACCCUUCUUUGUAACAUCUCUAGAUUCAACUAUAACGUCUAGGCCGGGUUUGAGGUGUUAAAGAAUGGGCUGGGUUUUUUUUUUUUUGUCAUUUCGUGCCCAUGACUAGGCCUAUAAUCGUUAAAUGCCUUAUAUUCCGCUUCUUCGUUCAUGUUUAUAUCAUUUGACAUUGGUCUGAAAUUCUUCUAUCUUUACAUCUUAGUCAUAUAGAUGUAUUGUAAAUGAAUACUCUUGUUUUGCACUUGAAAUUUGGUGAUUGAUUGAAUGACGUUUGGAUACUUUUUGUUUGCUAAUGGUCACUCCAUGGAUAUUGGCGUUUUUUAAAACUUUUUUGGACACUGCUAUGUGACAAAUGUUUCUCAAUUUUCUUUCUUCUUGAAACAAAAAGAAAAAAAUUUGAGGAAGAGAGGUUGAAUAAUGAUGUUGGUGUCUUAACAAGUUUGGUAAUUGUUGAUUUUCAUGGAAAUUAAUUAAAGAUUGGAUGAAACGAUUGUGUGUACUUAAUUGGAAAAUAUUCACAUCUAUUGCUUGGAUUGGAAGUCUUAAGGGCUAUAAUUUUAUAUACAUUCCUUUUCUGGCUUUUGACUGGCAAUAGCAGGGGUUAAGCGUUCGGAUACCUUUAAAGCAUGAUGGUGAAAGUGUUGAAGAGAACGGGAGUAUUGGCCUUCAUUUGAUUAGUUGUUUUAUUUCUGCUGCUAUGUAUUCAGUUAAAGGGAUUUUGCAGAGUUAAUUUUAUUGGCUUUGGUAGAGUUCAUUGUAUGCUGCAAGUUUUUGAGACUAGAAUGACUUGGAUUCUCCAUGGCCUUUUUCUGUAUUUGUUAAUGGUUGAGAAAAAAAAACAAUACCAAGUGUUAAUUUCAUUUUAAAAAGGUCGAAAACGUGGAUCAUAGACGGCUUUAAUUUCAAUUUCAGAAUAGACCCUUUGGUUUUCUUCUUCAUCUUGCGCCAUUGACCUUGCUACCAUUCUGCCAAGUUUCUUUCUUUUUAUUAAAUCCUAUUUAUUUUUAUUUCCUUUAUUUAUUUAAGGUUGAUCAAUUUCGGUGUUUGAGUUGUGAGACACGAAUCUAUAUUUAAUCCUUUUUACUUUAUCAUUCGAUUUUUUUUCUGCAUCAAAGAUAGAUAGGAUCAUCUCACAAUAUUCUUUUCGGCAUUAUUUCGAGAAAGGCCCUUGUACGGUGUUGAAAAUAAUUCAUAGUUGGUAAAAAUUAGUUUGAUUCGUAAUUGUCAAAAAAACAAGUUGACGUGAUUCAAUUAAGAGUGCAGUUUGGUGACACCACGGGAAUUAGUAAUCUUAUUAAUUUAAAUGAUCCAUACAAUUUAGAUAAUUAAUUAUAGUUGGGUUGUUUUAAUUUGCAAGGCUAUCAAGGAAUAAAUCCUAAAAGAUACUUUCUGGGUUAUUUGCUCAAUAAAAGUUAAUUGUAGGGUUGUUCUCACCAUUAAUUUACUGUUAAAACUAAAUUGAUGAUCUAAUCAACAUGUGAGAAGACAUUGGUAGUAUGUGAAUCCAUUUUUAAACCCAAGUUUAUUUUAUUUAAUUUCAUGUCCACACUUUAUUUACUAUUUUAUUUCUCGAGAUAUUAAUUAUAUCAAACAAACAUUUGUUUGCAGAAGAUAAAAUAAUUUAUAAAAUCAGCACAUCAAUCACAUGUAAUAUAUAAUAUCAAAUAAAUUAAAAGUCAAUGGUCAAUAUUCAGACGAAAACAGAAACACUGGGGGGAGGAAACUUCCAAUCUAAAAUAAUUAGACCAAGAUUCUGUUGCGUGAUCAAGAUUUGUGUUCUUUUUAAUAUUACCACGGACAAAUCAAUCAUGUAUUAUAUAAAAUGUUUGGGACAAUAAAUUAUUUUCAUGUCUGCGGGUUUUCUCACUAUAAACCUUUCUGUUUUCUUAAUAAAAUUGAGGUAACAAUUCUAUAGUUUCAUCUACAUUUCGCCCCAGAAAUUAUAGUAAAACAGAGACAAUGAAAGGAACAUUGAUGAUGAGUUGGAUUCUGAUCAUCUGCCUCUCCCAAGUAGCAGUGCGGAGCCAAUACUACUCAGAUACCCUACCAUAUCAUCCCAGGCCACCUAAGGUCACCAAUCUUCACUUCUUUAUGCACGAACUUACGGGUGUUACAGCAGUCGUGCUAACCCAAGCUAACAUCACAAGCAAUAAUUCAUCAGUGCCAUUUGCUACCCUAGUUGCUGUUAAUGAUCCCCUCAGGACUGGCCCUGAGCCUGACUCAGAGGUGAUUGGAAAUGUUCAGGGUAUUUCCCUUUUAGCCGGAUCAAAUGCAUCGAGCACGCAGUACAUAGAAUUUGGAUUUAAUACCGGUAAGUUUAACGGCAGCUCUCUAAGCGUAUUUUCAAGGGGAGAACCAGGGCUUGCGGUGGUCGGAGGAAGAGGG